CACUGAUACCCCUGGAAAAGGCCCGAUUCUCGUACGAUCACUGAAGUUAAGCAACGUCGAACUUGGUCAGUACCUAGAUGGGUGACUGAUUGAGAAUACCAGAUGCUGUAAG